rnacentral:rRNA from 1 species
CAGCACCUCAAGUGGUCAGGAUGAUUAUUGGGCCUAAAGCAUCCGUAGCCUGCUUUGUUAGUUUUCGGUUAAAUCCAUACGCUCAACGUAUGGGCUGCCGGGAAUACUGCAAAGCUAGGGAGUGGGAGAGGUAGACGGUACUCGGUAGGAAGGGGUAAAAUCCUUUGAUCUAUUGAUGACCACCUGUGGCGAAGGCGGUCUACCAGAACACGUCCGACGGUGAGAGAUGAAAGCUGGGGGAGCAAACCGGAUUAGAUACCCGAGUAGUCC